CCCAGAACAUUAAUACAGUCACUCCUUGACUCCAGAAGGCAAUGAUGCCUGGAAAUCCCACCUUCUUGGGUUCUACUAGGUAUUGAUGUGGGCCAGAAACAGGCACUGUUAAUCCGAAUGCUUGUGAGUGUCCUGGGCUGGACCUCCAGCUGCACGUUUUUCUCUGAAAAUAUAAAUCUAUCCCCAAUGACUGAAUAGGGAGCAGGCCCUGCUGGAAUUGUAUGAACUUAAAAGAAACACCAAGCAGUUUCCAACAGCUAUAAUUUUCCCACUGAUUUAGAACCUCUAUUUUCUUCAGCAUCUUCUCAUGUGGCAUCCUUUACCAUCGUCUUAAGCUUAUCAUGCCUUUUUUUCUGGGAGCAGGGAGUGUGUAAAUGCCUUCUUGAGACAGGAUGUUUAGAACUGAGUGGAGUCCUUCACAUCUGACCUGCCAAACCAGGGUUCUGAGGGAUUUUCACCUCCUUGAUUUUGAUACCAUGCUUUUGGUAAUAUGGUCAAAAAAUAAAUUAGCUUUUUUUUCACACACUUGACUAUUAUUGAAUUUAUAGUCAACUAAAAUGUAUUUUUCACAGAUGUUUCUCCAAGCCUUAUUGACUCCUCUCUGAAAUGUGGUUAUCUUUUUUUAGGGGUAAGGCUGUAGGUUGAGGACUAUAUUCUUGUUAGAUUAUAUUCAAGCUGGUGUGGCUCUAUUUGAAUGUAGAUGCUUCUACCUCUGAAUUAAUUGCCUGUCACAGUUAUAUAUCACCUAUAAACUUGAGAAAUAUGCCAUUUAUGACCCUAAAA
rnacentral:lncRNA from 10 species